rnacentral:tRNA from 1 species
GAUAAUGUACCUUUUAGUUUUAAAAAUAUAAAUUUUGGAAAUUUAAGUUAUUCAUAAUUUUGAUUUACAAAAUCAAUAUUUUUG